rnacentral:misc_RNA from 1 species
GCAAACUUGGUCAUUUAGAGGAAGUAAAAGUCGUAACAAGGUUUCCGUAGGUGAACCUGCGGAAGGAUCAUUAGUGAAUAUUAGGGUGUCCAACUUAACUUGGAGCCCGACCCUCACUUUCUAACCCUGUGCAUUUGUCUUGGGUAGUAGCUUGCGUCAGCGAGCGAAUCCCAUUUCACUUACAAACACAAAGUCUAUGAAUGUAACAAAUUUAUAACAAAACAAAACUUUCAACAACGGAUCUCUUGGCUCUCGCAUCGAUGAAGAACGCAGC